rnacentral:rRNA from 1 species
CUGGGACUGAGACACGGCCCAGACACCUACGGGUGGCAGCAGUCGAGAAUCUUUCACAAUGGGGGAAACCCCUGAUGGAGCGACGCCGCGUGGAGGAUAAGGUCUUCGGAUUGUAAACUCCUGUCAUGCGAGAGCAAGAUUGGUCAUUUUAAUAGGUGAUUAAUUUGAUAGUAUCGCAAGAGGAAGAGACGGCUAACUCUGUGCCAGCAGCCGCGGUAAUACAGAGGUCUCAAGCGUUGUUCGGAAUCACUGGGCGUAAAGGGUGCGUAGGUGGCGUGGUAAGUCAGAUGUGAAAGCCCAGGGCUCAACCCUGGAAUUGCAUCCGAUACUGCCGUGCUAGAGAACUGAAGGGGAGUCUGGAAUUCUCGGUGUAGCAGUGAAAUGCGUAGAUAUCGAGAGGAACACCAAAUGGCGAAGGCAAGACUCUGGGCAG